rnacentral:rRNA from 1 species
AAUGGGUCAGCGACUUAUAUUCUGUAGCAAGGUUAACCGAAUAGGGGAGCCGAAGGGAAACCGAGUCUUAACUGGGCGUUAAGUUGCAGGGUAUAGACCCGAAACCCGGUGAUCUAGCCAUGGGCAGGUUGAAGGUUGGGUAACACUAACUGGAGGACCGAACCGACUAAUGUUGAAAAAUUAGCGGAUGACUUGUGGCUGGGGGUGAAAGGCCAAUCAAACCGGGAGAUAGCUGGUUCUCCCCGAAAGCUAUUUAGGUAGCGCCUCGUGAAUUCAUCUCCGGGGGUAGAGCACUGUUUCGGCAAGGGGGUCAUCCCGACUUACCAACCCGAUGCAAACUGCGAAUACCGGAGAAUGUUAUCACGGGAGACACACGGCGGGUGCUAACGUCCGUCGUGAAGAGGGAAACAACCCAGACCGCCAGCUAAGGUCCCAAAGUCAUGGUUAAGUGGGAAACGAUGUGGGAAGGCCCAGACAGCCAGGAUGUUGGCUUAGAAGCAGCCAUCAUUUAAAGAAAGCGUAAUAGCUCACUGGUCGAGUCGGCCUGCGCGGAAGAUGUAACGGGGCUAAACCAUGCACCGAAGCUGCGGCAGCGACGCUUAUGCGUUGUUGGGUAGGGGAGCGUUCUGUAAGCCUGUGAAGGUGUGCUGUGAGGCAUGCUGGAGGUAUCAGAAGUGCGAAUGCUGACAUAAGUAACGAUAAAGCGGGUGAAAAGCCCGCUCGCCGGAAGACCAAGGGUUCCUGUCCAACGUUAAUCGGGGCAGGGUGAGUCGACCCCUAAGGCGAGGCCGAAAGGCGUAGUCGAUGGGAAACAGGUUAAUAUUCCUGUACUUGGUGUUACUGCGAAGGGGGGACGGAGAAGGCUAUGUUGGCCGGGCGACGGUUGUCCCGGUUUAAGCGUGUAGGCUGGUUUUCCAGGCAAAUCCGGAAAAUCAAGGCUGAGGCGUGAUGACGAGGCACUACGGUGCUGAAGCAACAAAUGCCCUGCUUCCAGGAAAAGCCUCUAAGCAUCAGGUAACAUCAAAUCGUACCCCAAACCGACACAGGUGGUCAGGUAGAGAAUACCAAGGCGCUUGAGAGAACUCGGGUGAAGGAACUAGGCAAAAUGGUGCCGUAACUUCGGGAGAAGGCAC